ACAGGAUUUCAGGACAAAGUUCAACAAGUAACUGCACUGACAUGAUUUGAAUGGGAAAUCCGAAUUAGAGGGAUUCAAAUUUGAUGGUUCAAAGGAAAUUUGGAUUCACAUGUGGGCUGCAACUUUUAAAAUCUUAGACUCCAAGAAGAAAAGAAAUUUAAAAAGCAAUUGUUUUCCCAUUUUAUAAAGGGAAACAGCCCUCUGAUGACAGGA
ensembl:lncRNA novel transcript, antisense to WSB2